rnacentral:rRNA from 1 species
GACAGAGGUGCCGAGCGUUAGGCGGAAUCACUGGGCUUAAAGCGUGUGUAGGCGGAUGCCUAAGUACCUUGUGAAAUCCCACGGCUUAACCGUGGAACUGCUUGGUAUACUGGGUGUCUUGAGCCACUUAGGGGCGACCGGAACAAACGGUGGAGCGGUGAAAUGCGUAGAGAUCGGCAGGAACACCCAGGGGGAAACCAGUCGACUGGGCAUCUACUGACGCUGAGGUGCGAGAGCGUGGGGAGCGAACCGG